UACGUAGGCAGCGAGCGUUGUUCGGAGUUACUGGGCGUAAAGGGUGUGUAGGCGGUUCUCUAAGUUUGGUGUGAAAUCUCCCGGCUCAACCGGGAGGGUGCGCCGAAAACUGGAGGGCUAGAGUGCGGGAAGGGAGAGUAGAAUUCCUGGUGUAGCGGUGAAAUGCGCAGAUAUCAGGAGGAACACCGGUGGCGAAGGCGGAUCUCUGGGCCAUUACUGACGCUGAGAAGCGAAAGCAUGGGGAGCGAACAGG
rnacentral:rRNA from 1 species